rnacentral:rRNA from 1 species
GAUGAACGCUGGCGGCGUGCCUAAUACAUGCAAGUCGAGCGAACAGACGAGGAGCUUGCUCCUCUGACGUUAGCGGCGGACGGGUGAGUAACACGUGGAUAACCUACCUAUAAGACUGGGAUAACUUCGGGAAACCGGAGCUAAUACCGGGUAACAUGUUGAACCGCAUGGUUCAACAGUGAAAGACGGUUUUGCUGUCACUUAUAGAUGGAUCCGCGUCGCAUUAGCUAGUUGGUAAGGUAACGGCUUACCAAGGCAACGAUGCGUAGCCGACCUGAGAGGGUGAUCGGCCACACUGGAACUGAGACACGGUCCAGACUCCUACGGGAGGCAGCAGUAGGGAAUCUUCCGCAAUGGGCGAAAGCCUGACGGAGCAACGCCGCGUGAGUGAAGAAGGUCUUCGGAUCGUAAAACUCUGUUAUUAGGGAAGAACAAAUGUGUAAGUAACUAUGCACGUCUUGACGGUACCUAAUCAGAAAGCCACGGCUAACUACGUG